GUAAACAACUACCUGAGAAACAUCAGAUACAGCAGAUAAAUUAAUUAUAGGCCAUUACUUUUGUAUCGUUUAUUGCAUUUAUGGAGGGAGAGGUGUAUGCUGGGUAAUGGCACAGCUAGCGACCGGGUGACCCGCUUCGGAUGUUCAGUCCAUCAGGCGUUAUUAGCAUAAAUCAGUCCCAUAGAUAUGGGCCAUCUCCACCUGCUAGAUUGUUCAGAAGGUUGUUAUCAUCCAUCCAGAUGGAGGAUCACUAACUGGAGCGUGGGAAGACUCCAGAAUCCACUCUGGCUGGAAUCCGGUGGAUACAGCAGUGUUACAGAACAGUUCUCCACAGUCACUGUCCACAUGGGUCAGUGGGACCAAGAAGCACUCUGCUAAUGUGUGGACUCUGACCAGCAACAUCCAGCAAGACCCAGGCAGCGUUUUCUAUCUCCCAGCUGGAGUUUUUUGUUUGUGACGGGAGAGUCAGAUUUUUGUUGAGGCUGGAGGAACAGCCUCACACUUGCAGAGGUUAAUACAUGCUACUGAUCCCUGAUGGGAGAAUCUUCACCUCUGCCAACAAAGAAGCCUGGUGGAUAUUUGUUUACAGACUGAUGAUGGGACAUCAUGCUGUGCAUCUUCAAUUCUUUUUGCAGGAUCAGAAAACAAAACCAGGAGGCGCGUAAAUGUUUCUUCUCCAAUUGGAUGAUGAUAAGACUGUGACACGGGAUGCCACCUUUAGUCUUGUGAUGAAGCAAAGCUCAGGAAGAAGUGUGAUUAAAUGGUACCCACAUGUGUGCUGCUGAGAAGGAUGUACAGGGGCACCUGCAGCCAAAUCCAAGCCGCCUCAGCAACUUCAGGUCUGUCAGCGUGCUGAGGUCAGAGAAACAAGAAAAGCAGCUUGACACUUUAGAGUGUUGUUUACAGUUUUCUGUCAUCAUGAUCUCCCCUGAAGUUUAUCAAGCAUUAAGUCCACAAUACUGUAAUGAUGAUUCUGACUUUGGUCAUGGUUGCAUAAUAUUUUAAUAAUAUACAAUUAUUUUUUGUAAUUCAUAUUUUUUAUGUUAAUCAAAAAUUUACUUUGUGAAAUUUGUAUUUGAGAAUGAAGA